UAGGGGAAUCUUCCACAAUGGACGCAAGUCUGAUGGAGCAACGCCGCGUGAGUGAAGAAGGUUUUCGGACCGUAAAGCUCUGUUGUUGGUGAAGAAGGAUAGAGGUAGUAACUGGCCUUUAUUUGACGGUAAUCAACCAGAAAGUCACGGCUAACUACGUGCCAGCAGCCGCGGUAAUACGUAGGUGGCAAGCGUUGUCCGGAUUUAUUGGGCGUAAAGCGAGCGCAGGCGGAAGAAUAAGUCUGAUGUGAAAGCCCUUGGCUUAACCGAGGAAUUGCAUCGGAAACUGUUUUU
rnacentral:rRNA from 1 species